AACCCGCGACUUUGCUUCCUUACUGGUGGUCUCUUUGCCGUCUUGGACGAGAUAACAAGUGUAAACGGUGUUUCGUCGUUCGGCAUAAUUACAGAUUUCCAAGAAUUCUAUGAGCUAUAAUAACAUGUCUGUUUUGUAUGCGUACUUUUUCUUCGUAUACGUACAGGAAGUUCUCCAGUCAAAAGCAAAACAAAAACAAUCGAGCGAUUGAAGUCUCUCAAGGAUUGGAAAGAGAUCUUCAUUCCUUUACAGUAUUUCAGCGAGUACAAACCUACGAAAGCGUUG